CCUUCCCUCCUGUUUUCAUCCUUCAGAGGCCCGCAGGCUACGCUUUGAAGUGUCACAUGUGAUGGGAACCUUUUGGGGAACCGCUUCACUGAUGCAGGUGUGUGUGUUUGGCACCAUGGCAGCGCGUCUCUUUCCAUCCACGGCGGUGGAAUCACAAGAGCGUGGGGUUCGGCACACCUUGCAGUGUGAGAUCCAGUGGCAUGGAGUCCAAGACAACUGGGGACCCUUUUCUGCUGCAGCCUUCAAUCGCCAUCCCAGCCGUUGUGACGCUCCAUAGGGUUAGCAAUCAUCCUCCGCCUGUUCCACCGUUGAGGUCUCGGGUCGUUAUUUCCCCAUAACUGGGCCCACAUGGAUGUGGGGGUGCCUUCUUCCGCCAUCGCAGCCGUUGUGGUAGUUCUUACAUCUACCAUCUUCCGCCAGCUCCGCCGUUGAGGUCUUCACCGUAUCCCUGGCUAGGGGGCAGUCAGGUACUAGACCUUUGCCAAGGGCCACCUGGGGUAACAGUAGUAAAGGGGUUAACCUCCUAGUGCCCCAAGACCCCAUAGAGGAGCCUCCACUGCCGGAUGCACUUUAAUGUCAUG